rnacentral:lncRNA from 1 species
ACCAGAUAUUGACUAUACAUGGCAAAACUGAAUGGCUUUAAUCCUAGAUCACAAAACAGAUAUGUUUUGAAAUUGCUCUCUCCAUUCAACAUCGCAACAAAGAUUUCUACUACUAACAGAGCUUACGUGAACUUCAAAAGUUUCGCCAUUUAAUGAGCCAUUUUAUUGCAUAUAAUUCUCAUAAUGCUACAAGAAAUGAAAUAUUCUUAAACUUUUGCAAGAAGGAAGCCAGGAUAACAGACUCUUCAGCAGAUCAGGUCCAUAAAGAAGAUACAGUUCCAUGUCAUAAUCUUGUUGUAAUCAGAAUGAACUUGUCACUGAAUACACUAAGCCAUCACAGCUUUUUAUUUCAAGAGUGCUUGGGAACUGACAUCCAUGAAAUUCAAUGGACCAAGGACUUGAGGAACUGAACAGCUAGACUAAUUGAAAGGAGAAAGCAGAUCUCCAGAGGACGACCAGACUUAGUUCUGUUUUGUCUUGAGAAUUUCACAUGUGCUAGCUGAGAACAACAAUCUUUGUGUUAUUCUGUAGACAUAUAGCAAAAAGACUCUUUUAUUUUCCGAGUCUGAAUCAAGAAUUAACUGUUACAACAGUGACUAUAAUUCUUUAAUGUAAAACCAGCCAAG